AUUUCUUUUGCAUGUUUUGACUUCCAGAAUAAUUAUGGUAGGUAUAUCAUAUUAUUCAAACCUCCACAGUCGGUCAUAUGUCAGAAGUAGGUAUGAAUCAAGAUUGUCAUGAUUGGUUGCAGAGGUCUAAGGUGUUGUACAUGGCUACAACAAUCAUGAGUUCUCAUAAGUUCCGAGCAUUGGACACAACCCACGCUCACUGGAAUCACUUCAUGGAAUUCUAUCUCGAGUGAUCGUGAGACGGUAAUAUCAUAUAAGUCUUCAAACCUAGAGAUAUGAUUUGUUACUUACAAGUUGGUUAUGCAUUGACUGUACGAAACCGCAUUGGUAACUCGAUGUUAUAAAACGUACUUUUGUGUGUAAUUCAAUGAGUGGUAGAACAAACAUAUGAGUCGAAGUUUAUCUGUUCCUUCUUGGAUUAGAAGCUGAUAUCUGGGCCCCUCGAUGAUUUUGUUUUGACCCAUGUACCGGGCCCGGUCAGAACUAAGUUGAUGUGUUCAAUUAAGUUCUAUGUCAAACAAAUCGGAAAUCGGGAAACAAAUGCUGGACAAUAAGCAAGACAAUGUUCCAUGUAUUUGUCCGGCUGAUAUCUAGAACGGAGGAUUAUAUGAUCACUUAUCUUAAAUGGCGUACCAUCAUCUUCUCAGUUCCGAGAGACCUUGAAAGAGCUACGAUUGCCGGUCGGUUCCUGAAGUACUAGAGAUAUAGUUAUUAGACUUAUCCAAGUGGGAGACUGUUGGAUAAGGUGUCUAAGUCCAUAACUAUUUCGGGCUUGUACUUGACCCGACCCGGCAUGGUCCAUUUGGGUUGCAUGGCACCAUGCAAUUGGAUAGACUAAAUGAGAGAAAUAACACUUGGAGAUUAUUAAUAUAUUAUAAGUUCUAAUAUAUUAAUAAUAUUAUUUGAUUAGUUGAUCAAAGAAUUAAUUUGGAAUUAAUUAAGUGAUCAAAGGAUAACUAAUUAAAUAUAUGGGUUGAUUAUGUAAAUCAUCCAUAUCUUGUAUAGUGGGCUAAGAGGCUCCAUGGAUUAUCAAGUUGGGUUCUACCCAUAGGAUGCUCCAUGGAUGCUCCAUGGGAGUUACAAACCCAUGGGUCAUGGAAAUGAAGAGUCAUGACACAUUAGGGUUUACAUGGUGUAACCCUAGAUGUGCCAACACUAUAUAAGAGUCCCAUUCUCCACAAAAUUGGCUACACAAGUUGAACACUAAGAAACUAGAGGGCUUGGCCGAUUUUGAGAAGUGUGUGUUAUCUCAAGAGUCUUUCCAAGAGCAUUUGGUGUUGUGUGAAGCAUUUGAGGCAUCACACUUGGGGUGCUAGGCUCACAAGGUUUCAAGGAACACAAGCAACAACAAGGUAAGUUAUUCUAUCUAUGAUUCAAGUUAAAAUUGUUCCCCAUGUAUGCUAGAUAGGAAUAUAACCUUGGAAUUCAACUUUGCAUGAUAAUUAGACAAACAUAGAUCCAAGGUUAUUAGGGUUGCAUGUACACUUAGGAAGUGUUAGAAUGCUCAAAACCCAUCAGUGGUAUCAGAGCCUAGGCUUGUUUGUUUGUUAUUUGUGCUUAAAAGUUGAAGAAAGUCGAAAAUUCUGCUGUCUGACUGAUGGACUCGGCGAGUCCAUGGGGAGGACUCGUCGAGUUCAUGUGUAUCUUCAACCUACUCGGCGAGUAGGUUUAUGCACUCGGCGAGUAGGGUCGACAGAGUGCAGAAUUUCGACUUGAGUUGCUGGAAAUGGAUUAGAAUCAUUACCCUAAAAUGUUUUGGUACUUGAAAACUUAUUUUAGAAGGUGUAAUGUCUUUUCUAACUCAUUUACAACAACUAGUUAUCAAAAUUACAAAGAUUAAAUGUGAUUUUGAUUCUUGAAAGUGUUCAUAUUCAUAUUCUUGUUCUUAUGAUGUUUAGAUGAUCAUAGGAAUUAUUUGUAACCUAUGUGGUAGAUUAAUUCAUGAUCAUAAUGUGUUUUAAUGGAGUCCAUAACUUGUCCUCAAGUUAUGGAAAACCAAAAGUCUCUUGGAUUAAAAACCAUUAAAAGAACACAAGAGUUAGGAAAAAUGAAAAGUCCUCAUUUUAUUACUCUAUUAAACUCAUAAGUUACAAGAAAUGAAAAGUUUUGAAAGUUUACAAAACUUGCCCUCAAGUUUUGGAACAAGUAAAGUUAAGUUAAAACUUUAGUUCCAACCCCUAGAAUUUUAAAAGUUAAAAUUCAACCCUUAUACUUAUAUUAUUAUGAUUUAAUAAUUAUAUAUAUAUGUAUAAGAACAAAGUCGUCUUACCGCUAGUACGCCUCAUUCACGAAGCCGGUCUAUAAGGUGGGUAUAAGGUUGUUGCCUAUAAAAUGGUGACUUAAUGGGUGUCCACUCUCACCCACCGCUUGCUUGAUCGGUGGAGGGUCGUUAGCCGAACGGGUAAGACAAGGACUUAUUAAUUCUCAUUCAAAGUAUGAUGAAUAUUAUAAAGUAACUAAAUGUUUUAUUAAAUUCCCAAUCUUAGUUACUUUAGGAAAAAUGUGAAUAAGGUGCUAUUCCAUGAAAUUACACUUUACACUUUGAUUAAGUCGUUGGUGGAGCGUGUGUGGUUAACCGGCACACUAACUUGGACUUAACAAGGUAGGUAAAGGGUGACUUAGGGUUUAUUAUAGUAUCGAUGGAGCGUGUGUGGUUAACCGGCACAUCGAUUGAGUGAUAAACUUUAAGGGUACCAAGUGAUUUGCAUGGUUACUUCACACCUCGUUUUGUGAUCCUCGGUAUCCCAGUCACAAAACUUGGAGGGCACACUCGAGAUUGAAACAUGCCUUUGAAAAGUUCAUUGAAUCUCAAAGAAUCUAGGAAUUUCUAAGAACCAUUCAAAAACCUAAUACUAAAAUAUUGCGGUUUUCGUGGUGGAAAUUGGUGAAUCGUCAUUCACCUACCUUUCAAAUAUGAUAUAGCUUAGAUUACGGCAUACCUCUUCUAAGUUAUAUUAUAUUGUGAUUGGAUCCUAGCCUUAAUAUUACAUUUGGGUGUUUUAUUAAGGACUCUCUUAUAUCUAAACUAAUCUUGUCCUCUUUCCUUCAGAUGUCUUUCAACAAUGCUUCUGGCUCUAAUCCUAAUGGCUCCUUUACCCUUAUGAACUUGUGUGGGAAAGUCACCUUUGAUGGAUCCAACUUCAAUGAGUGGAUCAGAAACAUCAGGAUGAUUACCCGCUACGAGGACAAAGAAUAUGUCCUUGACAAGGAGCUUAAGGAGAUUGAUGAGUCCACUGCAACUCCUCAGGAGAUCGCUGAAUUUCGGGCACAUGAAAGGGAUGCUACGAAAGUGGCUUGCAUCAUGAUGGCCACGAUGACAGCGGAACUCCAAAAGUCUUAUGAGGAUUUCUACCCUUAUGACAUGCACCAAGAUUUGAUGGAAAGAUACCAUCAAAGUGCAAGACAAGAGAGGUAUGAAAUCAUCUGCUCCAUGAUAACAACCAUGAUGAAGGACGGGGAAUCCGUCACGAGCCACAUGCAGAAAAUGCAAAGGUAUGUGGAUCGUUUGCUGAAGCUUAAUGUGAACUUCCCGGAGGAUCUUGCAAUAGAUAUUAUUUUGCAUUCCUUACCAUCGUGCUAUGAUCAAUUCCGCAUGACAUAUCACAUGAACAAGGAAGAAGUCACCCUCAGCAAACUUCAGGGACUUCUCAAGACCGCAGAAUCAGGUCUUAAGGGGAAGUCGGUUGCUAUCACUCCUACUCAAAACUCUACUCCGGUUUUGGCAAUCGGGAAAAGUCGAGGGAGGAAGAGAAAGAGCUCUUCUAAGGGUACCAAGGCUCGGACCCUUGAUGGCUCUUCUUCAAGUGGAACCAAGAAAGGUUUCAUUACUCCUUCUUCUGACCCAAAAGAGGCUGAAUGCUUCUAUUGCCAUGAAAAAGCUCAUUGGAAGCGGAACUGCCCAAAAUACCAGCAAGAUGUGAAGGAUGGGAAAGUUAAACCCAACCAUGCAGGUAUUUACACUAUCAUUUCUAAUAACUCACCCCAUUCUAAUUCUUGGGUCCUUGAUACCGGUUGUGGUAUUCAUAUUUGUUGUGACUUGCAGGGACUAAGAAGAAGUGAGGAUGUGGAGCAAGGAAGGAUAAACUUGAUCAUGGGGAAUAGGAAAGCUAUACCUGUUACCAAGAUUGGAGUUUAUACUUUAUCGCUAAGUAGUGGGUUUAGUUUAGAUUUGAAUAAGUGUUGUUAUUCGCCAGGAAUGGCAAGAAAUAUUAUUUCCUUUCAUGCUUUGUACAAACAAGGGUUUACCUUUUCAUUUAAUAAUGAAGUUGGUUCUAUAGAUGUUUUCUAUAAUAAUGUUUUUUAUUUUAAAGCAUUACCUUGUGAUGGUGUGUAUGAAGCUGUAUCUGUUGUAGAUAACUUAGGAAAUAAUGUUUUGUGUAUUGAUUCUACUAAUAAUAAUAACUUGGAUAAAGCAUCAUUAUGGCAUUGUCGUCUUGGACAUAUAAGCAAGAAACGCAUAGGCCAACUCCAAAAGGAUGGAGUCUUGGAGUCGUUUGACCUAAAGUCAGAUGAUAGUUGCGAAUCAUGCUUACUUGGAAAAAUGACAAAGUCACCCUUCACAGGUUCGUGUGAGAGGGGUGAAGGUUUGUUGGACCUUAUACACACGGAUGUGUGUGGACCAUUCAAACAUGCCACAAGGGAUGCUAAUCGUUAUUAUUUGACUUUUACUGAUGAUUACAGUAGAUAUGGAUAUGUCUACUUAAUCAAGCAUAAGUCAGAGACUUUCGAAAGGUUUAAGGAAUUUAAACAGGAAGUCGAGAAUCAAUUGGGCAGGAACAUUAAGAUGCUUCGAUCCGAUCGAGGAGGUGAGUAUCUUAGUUCAGAGUUCCUCGACUAUCUUAGGGAAUGUGGGAUUGUCUCACAAUUGACACCUCCCAGGACACCACAGUUGAAUGGUGUGGCUGAGAGGCGUAAUCGAACCUUGUUAGAUAUGGUUCGUUCCAUGAUGAGUCGAGCUACGCUACCAAUCUCAUUCUGGGGGUAUGCCUUAGAGACUGCCGCCCAUAUUCUUAAUCUAGUCCCUACAAAGAAAGUUGCCAAAACUCCUCACGAGAUGUGGACUGGUAAAGUACCUAAACUAGACCACAUCAAGAUUUGGGGUUGCGAGGCUUUUGUGAGGCGCGAGUCUCAUGAUAAGCUAGAACCCCGAAGCGAGAGGUGUAUUUUUUUCGGCUACCCACAAAGAUCCUUUGGUUACCUCUUCUACAGACGUAGUGAUAAUGUGGUCUUUGUAGCAAGAAUAGGGGUCUUUCGAGAGAGAGAAUUUAUAAGCCAAGGAGACAGUGGGAGGCAAAUUGACCUUGAAGAACUUCAAGAGUCAAGUGGUGAAGGAACUUCAAACCCUAGCCCUCAACUUGAGGAGGAAACUCCUGUUGAGCCAAUUGAUGAGUCUGUACCUCUAAGGCAUUCCACGAGAGUUAGAAAUGCACCUGAGCAUUAAUAUGGUUUCCAUAUUACUGCGGAAGGUGAGACACUUAUUAGUGAUGAGACACUAGUAGGUCUGGAUGAACCUAACAGCUACGCGGAAGCCAUGGCAGGCCUCGAGUCUACGAAAUGGAAAGAGGAUAUGGAUAGCGAGAUACAAUCCAUAUAUGACAAUCAAGUUUGGAACUUGGUUGAAAAUGUACCAGGUCGUAAGACAGUAGGGUGCAAAUGGGUCUUCAAGAAGAAGACCGACAUGGAUGGUAAAGUACACACUUAUAAGGCUAGACUGGUUGCAAAGGGCUUCUCUCAAAUUCCUGGAGUGGAUUAUGAUGAGACCUUUUCUCCGGUAGCCAAGAUUAAGUCUAUUCGGGUUCUGUUAGCCAUAGCUGCAUUUCAUGACUAUGAAAUAUGGCAGAUGGAUGUCAAAACCGCUUUCCUUAAUGGAAAGUUGGCUGAAGAUGUUUACAUGAGUCAGCCAGAAGGUUUUGUCAGCAACGAGUACCCUAAUAGAGUGUGUAAGCUUGAGAAAUCCAUUUAUGGAUUGAAGCAAGCACCUCGCAGAUGGAAUCUUUGCUUUGAUGAAAAGGUCAAGGAAUUUGGCUUUUCUAGGAGUGAAGAUGAAUCUUGUGUGUAUGUCAAGGCUAGUGGGAGUAUAGUUAGCUUUUUGGUAUUGUAUGUGGAUGACAUACUACUCAUAGGAAACGACAUUCCAACCCUGCAGGAAGUAAAGUCCUGGCUUGGGAAGUGUUUCGCUAUGAAGGACCUUGGUGAAGCUGCCUAUAUUCUAGGGAUAAGGAUCUUGAGAGAUCGGAGUAAAAGACUAAUUGGACUUAGUCAGAGUACCUACUUGGAUAAGGUGCUGAAGAGAUUCAGCAUGCAGGAUUCCAAGAAAGGAGAGUUACCCAUCCAGAGUAACACCAGAUUGAGUAAGACACAAAGCCCUAGCACUGAGGCUGAGAUAGCAGAAAUGAGUCGAACACCUUACGCUUCGGCUGUAGGAUCGAUCAUGUAUGCUAUGACGUGUACUCGACCCGAUGUAGCUUUUGCCUUGAGCAUGGUUAGCAGGUAUCAGGCGAACCCUGGCAAGGCACACUGGACUGCGGUAAAGAAUAUCCUCAAGUACCUACGGAGGACUAAGGACUGGGUCCUUACCCUCGGUGGGAGUGAUGACUUGAGAGUUGUAGGGUAUAGUGAUGCUAGCUUCCAGACUGAUAGGGAUAAUUUCCGCUCUCAGUCGGGCUGGGUCUUUACCCUAAACGGAGGAGCAAUUUCUUGGAAGAGUUCCAAGCAAGAGACAGUGGCAGAUUCUACUUGUGAAUCAGAGUAUAUUGCAGCUAGCGAAGCAGCAAAGGAGGCGAUAUGGCUGAAGAACUUCAUUGGAGACCUUGGAGUUGUACCAGCUAUUAAAGAGCCAAUGGAAAUUUUCUGUGAUAGUGAAAGUGCUGUUGCCUUAGCCAAGGAACCAAGGGAUCAUGGGAGAUCCAGACACAUCGACAGAAAAUACCAUUUCAUUAGACAUCGGAUCGAAGAAGGACUCCUCGUGGCAAAGAGGGUAUCAUCGGAUGAGAACCCAGCAGAUCCCCUCACGAAGGGACUGAGUAGGGUUAAGCAUCUCCAGCAUGCUCGGAGCAUAGGGCUGAAGGAUGAUAUAAGUUUUAGUAGUUAGAUAACCCAGAAAUUUGUAAAGUGUAAUUGACAUUUGAUGAUGAAUAAAAGGUGUUUUAUUUAUGAGUAAAGUGUUGCUAUCUCUUGUCAAUCGUUUACUAUAUUUCUUUUGCAUGUUUUGACUUCCAGAAUAAUUUUGUUUGGUGUAACAUAUUAUUCAAACCUCCACAGUCGGUCAUAUGUCGGAAGUAGGUAUGAAUCAAGACUGUCAUGAUGGGUUGUAGAGGUCUAAGGUGUUGGACAAGGCUACAACAAUCAUGAGUGCUCAUAAGUUCUGAGCAUUGGACUCAACCCACGCUCACUGGAAUCACUUCAUGGAAUUCUAUCUCGAGUGAUCGUGAGACGGUAAUAUCAUAUAAGUCUUCAAACCUAGAGAUAUGAUUUGUUACUUACAAGUUGGUUAUGCAUUGACUGUACGAAACCGCAUUGGUAACUCGAUGUUAUAAAACGUACUUUUGUGUGUAAUUCAAUGAGUGGUAGAACAAACAUAUGAGUCGAAGUUUAUCUGUUCCUUCUUGGAUUAGAAGCUGAUAUCUGGGCCCCUCGAUGAUUUUGUUUUGACCCAUGUACCGGGCCCGGUCAGAACUAAGUUG
rnacentral:lncRNA from 1 species